UUUAAUUAUUUAUAUUCUUAUUUCUUUUUCUCCCAAGUGAGGAGAUUGUACUUUGAAUUUCUGAGUAAAGUUUAAGAUUCAAUGCAAUAUGGAGAGAGUAUAAUUUCUCUGAUCAAACUUCUGUAAGCAAGAAAAAAGAAGAAAAAAAGGCUCUUGGGGCUUCUCCUUCAUGUUGGCUUAUAUUAACAGCUUAUAGUAAAA
rnacentral:misc_RNA from 1 species